ACGCCGUAAACCGAUGUCAAACUAGCGGUUGGGUCCCUUGAGGACUUAGUGGCGCAGCUAACGCAAUAAGUUGACCGCCUGGGGAGUACGGCCGCAAGGUUAAAACUCAAAUGAAUUGACGGGGGCCCGCACAAGCGGUGGAGCAUGUGGUUUAAUUCGAUGCAACGCGAAGAACCUUACCUACCCUUGACAUCCAGAGGACUUUCCAGAGAUGGAUUGGUGCCUUCGGGAACUCUGAGACAGGUGCUGCAUGGCUGUCGUCAGCUCGUGUUGUGAAAUGUUGGGUUAAGUCCCGUAACGAGCGCAACCCCUAUCCUUAUUUGCCAGCGAGUAAUGUCGGGAACUCUAAGGAGACUGCCGGUGACAAACCGGAGGAAGGUGGGGACGACGUCAAGUCAUCAUGGCCCUUACGGGUAGGGCUACACACGUGCUACAAUGGCAAGUACAAAGGGUUGCAAUACUGCGAAGUGGAGCCAAUCCCAUAAAGCUUGCCUCAGUCCGGAUUGGAGUCUGCAACUCGACUCCAUGAAGUCGGAAUCGCUAGUAAUCGUGGAUCAGAAUGCCACGGUGAAUACGUUCCCGGGCCUUGUACACACCGCCCGUCACACCAUGGGAGUGGACUGCACCAGAAGUGGUUAGCCUAACCUUCGGGAGGGCGAUCACCACGGUGUGGUUCAUGACUGGGGUGAAGUCGUAACAAGGUAACCA
rnacentral:rRNA from 1 species